rnacentral:lncRNA from 1 species
CCCAUUCAUAAUAGUGGAAACAAGUAUCAUCAAUCACCCAUUCAUAAUAGUAGAAACAAGUAUCAUCAAUCACCCAUUCAUAAUAGUAGAAACAAGUAUCAUCAAUCACCCAUUCAUAAUAGUAGAAACAAGUAUCAUCAAUCACCCAUUCAUAAUAGUGGAAACAAGUAUCAUCAAUCACCCAUUCAUAAUAGUGGACUAUUCCACCCUGACAGAGUUCCAGUGAAUUGUUUCGCACCGUAUUGAUUGCAAACGCGACUUUCGUGAAAUUAAGCUGAAGCAAUGAGGUGUUUCAGAGCGGGGCAGCUGCAGCAAUGAGAUGCUUUCAGAGCGGGGCAGCUGCAGCAAUGAGAUGCUUUCAGAGCGGGGCAGCUGCAGCAAUGAGAUGCUUUCAGAGCGGGGCAGCUGCAGUAAUGAGGUGUUUCAGAGCGGGGCAGCUGCAGCAAUGAGAUGCUUUCGGAGCGGGGCAGCUGCAGCAAUGAGAUGCUUUCAGAGCGGGGCAGCUGCAGCAAUGAGGUGCUUUCAGAGCGGGGCAGCUGCAGCAAUGAGAUGCUUUCAGAGCGGGGCAGCUGCAGCAAUGAGAUGCUUUCAGAGUGGGGCAGCUGCAGCAAUUAUAUGCUUUCAGAGCGGGGCAGCUGCAGCAAUGAGAUGCUUUCAGAGCGGGGCAGCUGCAGUAAUGAGGUGUUUCAGAGCGGGGCAGCUGCAGCAAUGAGAUGCUUUCAGAGCGGGGCAGCUGCAGCAAUGAGAUGCUUUCAGAGCGGGGCAGCUGCAGCAAUGAGGUGCUUAAAGAGCGGGGCAGCUGCAGUAAUGAGAUGCUUUCAGAGCGGGGCAGCUGCAGUAAUGAGGUGUUUCAGAGCGGGGCAGCUGCAGCAAUGAGGUGCUUAAAGAGCGGGGCAGCUGCAGUAAUGAUGUGUUUCAGAGCAGGGCAGCUGCAGCAAUGAGAUGCUUUCAGAGCGGGGCAGCUGCAGCAAUGAGAUGCUUUCAGAGCGGGGCAGCUGCAGCAAUGAGAUGCUUUCAGAGCAGGGCAGCUGCAGUAAUGAGAUGCUUUCAGAGCAGGGCAGCUGCAGCAAUGAGGUGCUUUCAGAGCGGGGCAGCUGCAGUAAUGAGAUGCUUUCAGAGCAGGGCAGCUGCAGUAAUGAGAUGCUUUCAGAGCGGGGCAGCUGCAGCAAUGAGGUGUUUCAGAGCGGGGCAGCUGCAGCAAUGAGGUGUUUCAGAGCGGGGCAGCUGCAGCAAUGAGGUGCUUUCAGAGCGGGGCAGCUGCAGCAAUGAGAUGUUUUCAGAGCGGGGCAGCUGCAGCAAUGAGGUGUUUCAGAGCGGGGCAGCUGCAGUAAUGAGAUGCUUUCAGAGCGGGGCAGCUGCAGUAAUGAGGUGUUUCAGAGCGGGGCAGCUGCAGCAAUGAGGUGUUU